AUGGAUUUAAUGCGACAAAAAGCGACUGUGGCCCCUCGGACCCUCCAGCGGAGGCAGGGUGCUGUGGCUGGACGGGCCCCUCGGACCCUCCAGGCGAGGCAGACCAAGGCUGGACAGGCCCCUCGGACCCUCCAGGCGAGGCAGAUGAAGGCUGGACAGGCCCCUCGGACCCUCCAGGUGAGGCAGAUGAAGGCUGGACAGGCCCCUCGGACCCUCCAGCGGAGGCAGACGAAGGCUGGACCGGCCCCUUGGACCCUCCAGCGGAGGCAGACGGUAACUGAGCAGGCGACUGAGCUGAGAGGUGAAUAAGGAGCAAAACAUUGGUGCAUGGAUCAGGACCUGAUGACACCAGACUCAUUAAAUUUACAUGGGUCCACAAACAUGAAGACUGUUUCUCCACCUCCCAGAGCAAAUGGAAGAAUAGACUAAGGCUGACCAGAGUAAGUAAUCAGCUCUCCGUAAGGAAAACAACAGUGAUGUUGGCCACACUAACACCUAAUGAAAGUACAGUACUAAGUUGAAGAGAAUGUGUUGCACUAGGCUACAUAAAGUUAAUUUUGACUUAAUACCUAAAAUACUAAACAGAUGAAUUGCAGAUGAAAUAGUGGAAAUGAGCCGAAACAGAUUACUGGGAAACUGUUAGAUGUUAGAAGGUUAAACUCAUUUGCUGACCAAAUAGUACAGAUAUAUUCAUGUUGCUAAUAACGAUUCAAACACUUUUUACAAUAUAUGACAUAUUUGCUAUAAAAGCAAAGUCACAGUCUGAAAAUAAAAAGGUGGGGUUUUUUUGUUUGGUUUUUUAGGUGAAUUAACAUCAACACACCUUUAACGGAGGAGGUUAAUAAGCUGGGUAUUGGUAUAUAACUUAAGUGAAUACCUCCAGGGCUGAAUAAUGAGUAGUUUCUUCAGUAGCCACUUGAGGCUGGCUCCAGAAACGAAUCAGUUACUGCAGACUCCAGUGUGCCUUUUAGUAAAACUGUAUAGUCCGUCACUCUUAUUUGGAGUCAGUUCAACUGGUUAAGCCUUUGAGAAAGGCUUAACUUGCAUCACCAGCAGUUAUUUUACCCUUCAUUUCUUGAAGUCAUUGAUUAUAAUUGACUCUCAGAGGUCUCUGCUACUUCACUGUUAGUCAAUUCCUGCAUGGACGUCCUUCAAGACCGAGUCUGAUAGAUACAUAAAUCUAGAAAUUUACAGAACUUUAGAACCUUAACAGUACAAUGUUUUUAGACAAUUGUUGCAGUAUUUCACUGUGGUAGUAUUUCAAAAUGUCUGAAAUCAUUUUUUUGUAAUUGCUUUAAUUGAUUUCAUGUUUUUGUUCUUGAAGAUCUUCUCGGAAGAAUAAAAGUACAUCCAAAUUAUUAGAGCCUUUUUCUGUGAUUGAUGCAGUUGGUGAACUUUUGCAAAUGUAACAUUCCCCCUGCCUCAUUGCUAAGAUGGAUACUAACCAGAAAUGGCUCUUUUAGACAACAAAUGAACAGCCCCGUGUUCCCAAUGUAACAUUUUGUACUGUGUGUCUUUAAACUUGGUCAAAUCCACUGCAGAGAAACAGCUUGCUCUUAUGGUUAGACCAUUAUAAGUCAGAAUUUUGGUUUAGAUGGUCACAGCUAGAAUGUCUGCUAAAUUAAACAAGAUGUGCUGGUUGGCCUUACAGUAAAAAAGAGAAGUAUUUGCACAGCUGGGCACUGAGCCGUUAAAUCUCCUGAAUAUUGGAUCAUUCCUGCACUGUACUUUUUUUGUUUUUCUAUUUAUUCCAGCCAGAAGGCAUCAAGGUAAAGUACUCCAUCAGUGAAUUAUUGGAUUGUUUGGAGAGAGAGAUGGAGAGAGGAGAAGAGAAAGUGCUCUGCAGAUUUCUCAGUAAAGUUGCCAGCUGAGAACUUAUCUACUCUGCUUUGGGAAAGUAAUCAAUUUCUGCCUUUUCUGCUAGAAAACAAGUCCACACUUUUCUACUGCAGAUUUAUUGGGAUGCUUGACCAUACUUUAAGAAGUUCUGCCCACUGUAAGUGUAAUUUAGCAUUUUUUCUGCUAUAAUUUUUGGAUUGGCAUUAUAUUAGGGUCAAUUGAACCUACUGUAGUUUAAUGAAAUGGCAAAUGAUUAAAAAGAAGAAGACUUGAACAUAAAUAUUACCUGCUAUAGUGCUGUAUUCUGCUUUGGUUUUCCUUUUUCUCUCAUGUACUGCCCAUUUCCCUCCUGAUGGGUCGUCUACUGCAUCAUUCAACUUUCCUCAUGAGGUGCAAAAGUACAAAGUCUAAUCUAAGGAGCUUGGAAAGAAAAGUGUUGGGACACUCCGAUACGGCUUAAAACCUGGGACUCUCCACCAAUUGCGCUUAGAACUGAAGAAGCUUCUUGGAUGAGAGGUGAAACGUCUUCAAGAAAACUUACAGAAGUCCAGACGCUUUUCUUUCCAAGCUCCUUAGACUACGACUGAGACCCUUCACAGACACACAAAGGCUAAUAAUGGAACAUUAGUCAACAUUGGUGGGCCACCUUUAAAUUUGAUAUAAACGAUGGGGCAUGACUACAAUAAAACUACUCACUGUUUAAAUUUGGGAUAACAUAAAGAAAGAUCUGUGAUCUUCUGCUGCUGUAGCCCAUCUGCCUUGAGGUUUGACAUAUUGCUUGUUAGGAGAUGCUCUUCUGCAUACCUUAGUACAACAAGUGGUUAUUUACUGUUGCCUUCUAAUUAGUCUUUUUAGAUAGCAUUUUAAUUAUGGCACAUUGCUGCUAUUUCAUAUUGCUGAUGUUGAAGCCCUUGUAGAGUUGUUGUUUUUUUUACCUUUUGUUUUUCUACCCAGAAAAUCUCAUGAGCAUCUAUUUCUAGUGUGUGAAUGUCAUGUGGAGUGAUGAAGUCCAAGCCUACAUGGCAAACAAUUACACAAUACAGAUCAGCAUGUAUACACAUGCAAAUGAACAUUUCAAUAAGAAAUGAUGGCAAUGCAAUGACAUUAUUAUUACUUUGCUUUCAGAGCAUUGUAUUGUCUCUAAAGGAGAGAUCAACGGUCAAAUGUAAGUAUUUGUACAGUACUUCUAUAUGUUGACUAUACACACAACACUUCAAAAUCAUAGCCAUUUUUUGAACAAUAAAUCAUUCAGUUGAACACAAAGAACAUAAGAUAGAUAAGAUAAGAUGAGAUAAGAUAACUCUUUAUUGUCAUUGCACAGUCAUACAUAGUACAAUAGUACAAUGAAAUUGGAAAACUGUCCUACGUCGGCACUACAUGUAACACGACACGAUACGACACAACGCAACACAAACAACACAACCAACACAACCAACACAACACAGUAUAAUAACUUAGUAAUAAAAAAGAAUAAGUGUAUUUGUAUUGCACACUGUUAUUAUUGCACAUUAAUUAUUAUUGCACCUUGUUAUAAAUAUAAAUAUUAUUAUUAUUACUGUUUUUACCGUUGUUAACCCCCCCCCCAACAAAGUCCAGGUAGGUAGCCAGUCAGGUCAGCUAUUUGCAUUGAUCAGGGCUAUUGCCCUGUUGUAAAAGCUGUCCUUGAGUCUAUUUGUUGGAUCUAAACCAAAUUUUAAUGAAAAAUUAAAAUGACCACACAAAGUUUUAUCAGAAUACAUGUAAAGCUUUUUAAGCUAUCAUGUGUGCAGACAGAAUGACACACCCAUGCACACAGAAGCGUUACCAAAAACCCAACUUCCUUGGUGUAGAUAAAAAUUCCAAAAUGACAAUUUGCCUGGUGAAAAUCAGUACUGUAGCUGCGCAAAAUGUGGAGCUGCCUGGUAGAAGAACUGGUUUGUCUCAUUUGCCUAUAUCUCUUUUACUUUUCCUGAUUCAUUACUUUUCUCACUCUGACGCAGGGCUGUCCAUGCAACUGGAGAAACAGGCAGUUUGUCAGUUAAGAGUUAUGGUGUUGAAACUCUGGGCUUUUCGGUGAGGUGUGCAGAGGGGACUGUUCAAUGUGUCUCUGUCAAAAUGAGCCACUGUCCAUAAAACCUUCCCUAUUUCUCUCAUGGAUUUUGUCUUCUGGCUGUUUCUUUCUCUGCAUCUGUCUCCCUCUCUUAUGGGCGGGUUUUUAUGAUGUAGCCUCAGUCAUCCAUCUACAAAUUCAGGUAGUCUGGAACUUUGGCUUUCCGAAAGGGCAGUGUGGAAAAAAACAUUAGGCUUCAUGUAAAUGUUACGAGCCCCUUUAACACCUGUUAAUGUCAGCUGUAAAUGAUGUGAAAUGAUUUUGACAUUUAAAUAGAUUUCUGUUACAUAACAGAUUUAUCUUUCUCCAGGCA
rnacentral:lncRNA from 1 species